UUUAUUUUUUUUGAAGUUCAGAUCUCUCUCCGCCUCGAAAUCAACGUCGCCAUGGACUUGGAUCUGUGGAUCUCCAAGGUCAAGGAAGGCCAGCAUCUCAUGGAAAACGAGCUCCAGCUUCUCUGUGAAUACGUGAAAGAGAUUCUUAUCGAGGAAUCAAAUGUGCAGCCUGUUAAUAGCCCUGUUACUGUUUGUGGUGACAUCCAUGGACAGUUUCAUGAUCUAAUGAAACUCUUCCAGACUGGAGGUCACGUUCCCGAGACAAAUUACAUUUUCAUGGGUGAUUUUGUCGAUCGUGGAUAUAACAGUUUGGAAGUUUUCACAAUUCUUUUGCUUCUCAAAGCCAGAUACCCUGCAAAUAUUACACUUUUGCGUGGGAAUCAUGAAAGCAGGCAGUUAACACAGGUCUACGGUUUUUAUGAUGAAUGCCAGCGGAAAUAUGGGAAUGCCAAUGCAUGGCGGUAUUGCACUGAUGUUUUUGACUACCUUACCCUGUCAGCAAUUAUAGAUGGAACUGUGCUCUGUGUCCAUGGUGGUCUUUCGCCUGAUAUACGAACAAUUGAUCAGAUCAGAGUUAUUGACCGCAAUUGUGAAAUUCCUCAUGAGGGCCCCUUUUGUGAUCUCAUGUGGAGUGACCCAGAGGAGAUCGAUACUUGGGCUGUCAGUCCCCGUGGCGCAGGUUGGCUCUUUGGAUCCAGGGUGACUGCAGAGUCACCCAUGCUUCUUGCAGUUCAAUCACAUAAACAAUCUGGAUCUUGUUUGUCGGGCACAUCAGCUUGUCCAGGAAGGUCUCAAGUACAUGUUUCAAGACAAAGGCCUUGUGACUGUCUGGUCUGCACCUAAUUAUUGUUACAGGUGUGGAAAUGUUGCUUCGAUAUUGAGCUUCAAUGAGAAUAUGACUCAUGGGUUGUGGAGGCCAUUUCAAAUGAUGUUUGGUGUUUCAUUAAUUAUACUUGUGAACGGAAUCGUCUUUAGCAGUUGACUGUUUCUUCUCGAUGUCAGGAAAGAGAGGUGAAGUUCUUCACAGAAACAGAGGAAAAUAAUCAAAUGAGGGGGCCGAGGACAGGGGUCCCAUACUUCCUAUGAUGGUGGUCACUGAUUCUUUGUUCUUUCAUCUGCAUCAGUGCUCUACUGCCUGCCUUGUAAAUUCUGGUGGAAACAUUAGCAGUUGGUCUCCUUGCGACAAAAGGAAAUUCUGACCAUAAAGGUGAUCAAAUAUGUUGAUUACUGCUGUAAUAUGUUCGGCUGAUUAAUAGUUUUGGUGCAGUGUUUUGAAGUCUGUUGUAUAUUAUGAUUCUUGGGACUUAUGUUGCUAUCUUACUUUUAUUUUAUCAAAUAAGCCUUGACAUUGGAAUUAACAGCUCUCUGGCAUUGGAAGAUUGAAGGAUCAACUCAUACGGCUUAUAAUGAAAUCAAGCAGCCGUGGUGAAAGAUUUGCUUGGGUCUCAUUCCAGGCCUCAUGUCAUGUGGAUUAGCAGUGUCUAAUCUGUAAAUCUGUAUUAUGUUGUAUAGUAAAUCAUUAUCCUUUACAUGUACUAUUAGACAAAUCUACUAGCUGCUGGUAACCCAAUUAUUUGUGUAUAGGUCAGUUUGAAAGGAGCACAAAUUGCCGAGUCUUAAGUAUAAUUUCAUUCCUGAUCUUGUAACCAUUUAAUAGGCUGCUGUAUGUCCUAGCUUGGUGUUUGUGCUGCUAUAUGCAAAUAAAAAGUGCCAAUUUUUCUGAUU